CCUUUCCCAGCCCCCUGGUCCCCAGACCCCGCCCAGCCGCUUGUUUUUAUUCGGCGGGCGGAAGGAAGGGCGGGAGUGAGCAUUUUCUCGGAAAUGGCUCUGGACUCUGAGGCUGAGAGCAGAAGCUCCAGGAAGAGAGAGGGCCCAGCCUGGCUUGGAUGUCUGGCGGCUGUUCCACUCCUAGUCCGGGAUUGAAACAUGAGAGACCAAGAGUGCUUGGGUGACCCCAGCCACUGCCGGUUGCUCCUCCCAUGGACGGAUGUUCAAAAGUUGGCAGAGGAGGCAUCUUGCUGUGUGAAGAGUAGGGAAGAGUCUUCCCAGAAGAUUCUGUCUCGUUCUCCUGCACAUUUGCCUCGCAGGCCCCUGGAGGCCGUGGGGUGGAAGGCAGCUC